GAUGAACGCUGGCGGCGUGCCUAAUACAUGCAAGUCGAGCGAACAGAUAAGGAGCUUGCUCCUUUGACGUUAGCGGCGGACGGGUGAGUAACACGUGGAUAACCUACCUAUAAGACUGGGAUAACUUCGGGAAACCGGAGCUAAUACCGGAUAACAUAUUGAACCGCAUGGUUCAAUAGUGAAAGGCGGCUUUGCUGUCACUUAUAGAUGGAUCCGCGCCGUAUUAGCUAGUUGGUAAGGUAACGGCUUACCAAGGCAGCGAUACGUAGCCGACCUGAGAGGGUGAUCGGCCACACUGGAACUGAGACACGGUCCAGACUCCUACGGGAGGCAGCAGUAGGGAAUCAUCCGCAAUGGGCGAAAGCCUGACGGAGCAACGCCGCGUGAGUGAUGAAGGUCUUCGGAUCGUAAAACUCUGUUAUCAGGGAAGAACAAAUGUGUAAGUAACUGUGCACAUCUUGACGGUACCUGAUCAGAAAGCCACGGCUAACUACGUG
rnacentral:rRNA from 1 species